UUAAUACCCUGGCUCUGUCUAUAGGCCUAGGCGGUGCUGGGAACCAGAUUUCUGCUUCAUUCACCUCAAGUGGAAAGCACAUUAUCUCGCUGGCCGAGGAUUCUAAUGUUUACAUCUGGAACUAUAAUCAGGAAUCAUGUUCUGCUUCGCAACCCAUUAGAUCAUUCGAGUGUUUCUCGUCUGACGCCUCUGUGGCAAUACCUUGGUCUGGCUUAAAGAUAGGGAACUUGGAGGACAGAUUCAAAUCGAGCAAACUCGAGGAGAGUUUAACUAAGUUAUCAACUCAUUUCUCUUUGGGCCAAGAUUUUAUCUUGGACUCCAGCCCCAAGGGAUCUGCAACUUGGCCUGAGGAAAAGCUACCCACGUCUAGUCUCCGUACUGGGCUGUAUCAAAUGUGUAAAUCUCAAUACAAACUUUUCAAGACUUCUUGCCAGAGUUCAUCCACUUCGCAUGCCUGGGGUCUAGUGAUUGUUACUGCAGGAAGGGAUGGACGGAUUAGAUCGUUCUACAAUUAUGGUUUACCGACCCCCCAUUAAUAUGAGUGCAGGAUCACUGCAGAAAUCGGAUAUGAUCUAUUUUUAUGGUCCUCUGUUUAUCUAUCAAUUUGGUCAAGUGCAGCAAGUUCAUUGCACAGAAAGUUGAUUUUAAAGGGUUAAAUUUGUUUACCCGACCCAAAACCAUCAACAUUGCUGUAUCAACGUGGAGGACUAGUCAUCCAGUGUCCAAGUUGAGUCGAUGAAGUUUGUAAUCCAGCAGCUGAUUAAAAACUAAGGUAUGCACUAUUUUCAGUUGGUUACUUCGCUCAAUUCAACAAUCCCUCGAUUUGUUUAUUCACGAAGUCUGUUUCUGUUGGACCAGAAAAGAAAUGGAUUUACACGCGAAGAGCGGCCAAUACGAGAUGCAUUUCUGUAUUAUGCAGCUUUAUGAAGGGUCCCAUGUAUCUUUGUAUAACAUCUUUCACUUGGUUAUCAGUCAUCACAGUGGAACAGAGGAGUGCCCGGCCAGUGGCCCCAAUUUAUUUUGAGGAAAAUGGUGGAGAACGUUUUCUCGUGGCAUGUUGGCUGGUCUGAUUGAUUUUUUGUCUGACCUUUGUAGCAUGUUUGGCUGAGCUUAUAAGGUUACUUGUUUGAAAAUAAAUUUUUCUUUAUCGAAGUUGAAAAAAAGUAUAGACAGUAAAGUAAGAGAAGCAACUUUGAGUAUGUUUGGCUCAUGUUUAUAAGAAUACCCGAUUUACUUUUUAUUCACACAUUUUGAGAGAACCACGGGCGCUACUCAUUAUUUCACCACUCAAUUUUAUCUAUUUAUAAUUUCUACUGUCUCCAAACACUUUCCAAGCAUGCUUUUGUUGCUUAAAAGCAAGUGAAAACAAACUUAUUUAAAUAUGUUCGGAAACCAAGUAACGGUAAAUGUAAUUUAAAUUAUUUUUAAGCUUAGCCAAACAAGCUCCCUUGUGUUAGAGUAACCACUAGGAUAUUUUCUGGUCUAAACUAUACUGCGUGAAGCAUGGCAUGUACAAAACAAAGUUUGUUAACCGUGGCUUGGGAGUGAGCUAUUUUCCUCUGGAUUGAUUACAGUAGGCGUAGCGUUUUCUUCUUCUUAUGAUUAUUAGUUCUGUAAAGAAAAGCUUUUGUUGCUGAUAUGUAAUGUAAGGCUUAAUAAGUUGACAUUCAAAACAGAGA
rnacentral:lncRNA from 1 species